rnacentral:rRNA from 1 species
CGGACGGGUGAGUAAUACGUAGGAAUCUGCCCUAGAGUGGGGGAUAACCUGCCGAAAGGCGGGCUAAUACCGCAUAAUCUCUACGGAGCAAAGGUGCCAUGUACUUGUACAUGGUUUCGCUUUAGGAUGAGCCUACGUCGGAUUAGCUUGUUGGUGGGGUAAAAGCCUACCAAGGCGACGAUCCGUAGCUGGUCUGAGAGGACGAUCAGCCACACUGGAACUGAGACACGGUCCAG